CACGUAGGGCGCAAGCGUUGUCCGGAAUUAUUGGGCGUAAAGAGCGCGCAGGCGGUCGAUCAAGUCGAGUGUGAAAGCCCCCGGCUCAACUGGGGAGGGUCAUUCGAUACUGAUCGACUCGAAGGCAGGAGAGGGUAGUGGAAUUCCCGGUGUAGUGGUGAAAUGCGUAGAUAUCGAGAGGAACACCAGUGGCGAAGGCGACUCACUGGGCUCCACCUGACGCUGAGGCGCGAAAGCGUGGGGAGCGAACCGG
rnacentral:rRNA from 1 species